CUGAAGUCGGAUGCUUGACCAACUGAGCCACCCAGGUGCCCCACUCAUGAUUGGAGUGUGGAUACACAAUACAGAAUGGCCAGCCAGUGCUCGAAUCUCCCUGGCCAAGAUAAUUAAUUGGUUCAUGCUCAGACAAAGGACUCACCAGAGACAAAAGGGGCAGAGGCAGAGGACGAGGAGAUCAGAGAAAACAGGAAGGCAUUUUGCAGGAUUUGCAAUAGCUCCGUUCAGAAGCAAUGAAUGUCUGAGACAGAGCGUGACAAUGAGGAGGAAAUCAGCAGCAGCCCAGAGUUAUCUGAAGGUCACUGGACAGUGGUAAGAGAUAAGACGUCCAGGGAGACUGGGGACGUCAUAUGUAUUUGACAAAGCCUCUAUCAGCCUGGUUCUCUGAGUGACUAUGUAGGGAAGAACAUUCCUCCCUAUCAUCACCAACCCUGAUGACGUGAAAUUGUCCCGGGCUGCCAGGAUAAAGCCUUCAAGAUCCUAUCCAUGGCAGCAUUUGUUAUCUCUUAUCUUUUUGAUGGUGGCGAUUAUAACAGGUGUGAAGCAAUAUCUCAUUGUGGUGAGAUGGUAUCGCAAUAUUAAAAAAAUUUUUUUAAUGUCAUCCCUUGACAGUUUCCUAUCAAUGGCAUUACCACUUGGGUGCUGCAGGCAUGGCAUUUCCUCAUUGGGAAGUGGAGUCUAUUUCUUUCUCCUUUAAUCUGGAAUGAUCUUAGUGACUUGGAUUGAUACUGUUAUAUUGCAAAAGAGAUGUUCUGGAACUUUCAAUAGCAUCUUUGGAGAAAUCCAGUGACCAGGGAAGAAGUCCAGCAAUCCUGUGGCUACCAUGCUGUGAGAUGCCAUAGUGUUGUGAAGAUAUCUUAAAGGUGAGGUUGAGAUGCCAUGGAGAUGGAGAUAGAAACAAAAGGUAGGGAGAGAGAGAGAGAGAGAGAGAGAGAGACAGGGAGAGACCAGGUAGCACCAUGGCUCCAGGUGUGUGAGUGAAGAAGCCACCUUGGAAGUGGUUCACCAGGCCCAGCUGCCCCAGCUGAUGCCUAACACACAAAAGCAUCUUGUUUACAUCUUCAUAUAGCCCCCUACCCUUGACUCUAGGCUGACCUGUAACUCAUUCUUGGUCAAUAAAAUGUGGCAGAAGUCAUACUGUAUACUUUCUGAGGCUAGAAGCCUUGAAGCUUUUGCCUGAGCCUCUUGUCAUGCUUAGUUGUCUUCCUCUGCCUCUUGAAGUCCAGCUGCCAUGAUAUGGGAAGCCCAAGCCCUAUGGAGGCCAUGCAUAGGCACUCUGGCUUAAAGUUCCAGGUAAGCUUCCAGCAGAUAGCCAGCAUCAACUGCCAGCACAUGAGUGGGUCGUGUUGGUCUUUAGCCCAGUCAAGUUUCGGAUGGCUACAUACCCAUCUGAUAUGCAAGAUCUCAACUGAGAAUUGCUUAGCUUGGUCCAGUUAGCACCAGAAGUUCAAAAGGUAAUAAUUAAUUGUUUUAUUUAUUUAUUUAUUUAUUUAUUUUUAAUUUUUUUUUAACAUUUAUUUAUUUUUGAGACAGAGAGAGACAGAGCAUGA